UACGUAGGAUGCAAGCGUUGUCCGGAAUUAUUGGGCGUAAAGAGCGCGCAGGCGGCCUAUCAAGUCAGAUGUGAAAUAACCAGGCUUAACCUGGUGGGGUCAUUUGAAACUGGCAGGCUAGAGUACAGCAGAGGAUAGCGGAAUUCCCGGUGUAGUGGUGAAAUUCGUAGAUAUCGGGAGGAACACCAGUGGCGAAGGCGGCUAUCUGGGCUGCAACUGACGCUGAGGCGCGAAGGCUAGGGGAGCAAACAGG
rnacentral:rRNA from 1 species